rnacentral:rRNA from 1 species
GGGGAAUAUUGGGCAAUGGACGCAAGUCUGACCCAGCAACGCCGCGUGAAGGAAGAAGGCUUUCGGGUUGUAAACUUCUUUUGUCAGGGAACAGUAGAAGAGGGUACCUGACGAAUAAGCCACGGCUAACUACGUGCCAGCAGCCGCGGUAAUACGUAGGUGGCAAGCGUUGUCCGGAUUUACUGGGUGUAAAGGGCGUGCAGCCGGGAAUGCAAGUCAGAUGUGAAAUCUGGAGGCUCAACCUCCAAACUGCAUUUGAAACUGUGUUUCUUGAGUAUCGGAGAGGUCAUCGGAAUUCCUUGUGUAGCGGUGAAAUGCGUAGAUAUUAGGAGGAACACCAGUGGCGAAGGCGGCUUACUGGACUGUAACUGACGGUGAGGCGCGAAAGCGUGGGGAGCAAACA